AGUGAACGCUGGCGGUAGGCCUAACACACGCAAGUCGAACGGCAGCACAAUAAGAGCUUGCUCUUACGGGUGGCGAGUGGCGGACGGGUGAGGAAUACAUCGGAAUCUACUUUUUUGUGGGGGAUAACGUAGGGAAACUUACGCUAAUACCGCAUACGACCUACGGGUGAAAGCAGGGGAUCUUCGGACCUUGCGCGAUUGAAUGAGCCGAUGUCGGAUUAGCUAGUUGGCGGGGUAAAGGCCCACCAAGGCGACGAUCCGUAGCUGGUCUGAGAGGAUGAUCAGCCACACUGGAACUGAGACACGGUCCAGACUCCUACGGGAGGCAGCAGUGGGGAAUAUUGGACAAUGGGCGCAAGCCUGAUCCAGCCAUACCGCGUGGGUGAAGAAGGCCUUCGGGUUGUAAAGCCCUUUUGUUGGGAAAGAAAAGCAGCAGGUUAAUACCCCGCUGUUCUGACGGUACCCAAAGAAUAAGCACCGGCUAACUUCGUG
rnacentral:rRNA from 1 species